AGCGCUGCUGGCGGGCUGGGUGUCACGCGGGUCUACAACACACGCCAGUCCGGUGUGUCGGACGCCCUGUUCGGCCCGGGUUGGGUUUCCA
rnacentral:tRNA from 1 species